rnacentral:rRNA from 1 species
UACAGAGGGGGCAAGCGUUGUUCGGAAUUACUGGGCGUAAAGGGAGCGUAGGUGGCCUUAUAAGUCAGUGGUGAAAUCUCUCGGCUUAACCGAGAAAUUGCCAUUGAUACUGUAGGGCUUGAGUAUAGUUCCGUUGGCGGAAUAUGACAUGUAGUGGUGAAAUACAUAGAGAUGUCAUAGAACACCGAUUGCGAAGGCAGCUGACGAAACUAUAACUGACACUGAGGCUCGAAAGUGCGGGGAUCAAACAGG